UCCCUCACAUAAAUUAAGAAGAACAAAAAAGAAGAAUUAAGUUAUUAAAAUAGAUAAAUAAAAGAACCAGGGUGUACCUGUGUGCACACUUCUAUCUCUGAAUCUGUCUUUGAGAAUUUCGAUACAUGUGAAGUCUCAACGCUCGGUACGCGACACUGACCUCCAGCGUUGUUCUUAACAGCAGACAGCAUCGAGCGCGCGCUGUGCGUUAAUGACGUAAUUUCAGUGCGCCUGCUCGCGCGCCUAGUAGAAAAACAAACGGGAAGAAUGGUAGUUAACGUAAAGAGCGCAGUGAUAAAGAGGGCGGGGUGCAGCGACGAAGAAGCGCCGUUUGGUUUGGAACGCUGUGUACGCGCCCCCUCGAGGAUAAACUGCUUUAUGUCGCAUAGGAAAUAGUUCAUAGAAACAUAUUCGCUUCUACUGCUCUGCACAGGUGGGAGUGUUAGCCGUUAGCAUCUCCAAACAAAACAUUAUUGUGCUUCUUCGUACCCUUUCUAGUGAAUAUUGAUUUUGCAGUUGUGUUUGCUAUGCCGUUCUCAUUUUGUUACGUUUAUUUUCCACUUGUAUGUCCAGUCCAGAGAAUAACAACAGGCACGGAAACUUAGGAAAGCAGAGAGCUUGGCUCAAAUGACUGGCAGAUUGGUCUUUUUAUAUAUAUAUAUAUAUAUAUAUAUAUAUAUAUUCUUUUAUUAUAUAUAUAUAUAUAUAUAUAUAUAUAAUAUCUGAAUUUCAAAGUGGGUUUUGGCCAACGGCAUAAGAAUCUGACAGAAAAUCUGUUCAUAUCUUCUCAUACACAUCACACAUUUCUGAAAGCAUUUGGGACGUUUGACUUUCUCAAGGUUUUUGGUGGGGAUCUACAAAAUCCUCAGCUGAUGGAUCCUGUUCCAGAUAACAAAGGAUCUGCACGAUCACCAAGAGGAACACCAGAAACCAAAGUGAGAGAAUGUUUAAUUUUUACAUUGCCAGAAGAAAUUCAUGUUGACUAUUUAAAUGAAUAGUUCACCUAAAAAAAAUAAAAUAAAAUACUCCCCCUUAGGGCAUCCAUUUUUUUUUCAUCUGAAUAGAUUUGGAGAAAUUUAGCAUUGCAUCAGUUGCUCAC
rnacentral:lncRNA from 1 species